GAAUUCCAGGUGUAGCGGUGAAAUGCGUAGGGAUCUGGAGGAAUACCGAUGGCGAAGGCAGCCAUCUGGCCUAAUACUGACACUGAGGUGCGAAAGCAUGGGGAGCAAACAGGAUUAGAUACCCUGGUAGUCCAUGCCGUAAACGAUGUCUACUAGCCGUUGGGGGAUUUGAUCCUUUAGUGGCGCAGCUAGCGCGAUAAGUAGACCGCCUGGGGAGUACGGUCGCAAGACUAAAACUCAAAUGAAUUGACGGGGGCCCGCACAAGCGGUGGAGCAUGUGGUUUAAUUCGAUGCAACGCGAAGAACCUUACCUGGCCUUGACAUAGUAGAGACUUUCCAGAGAUGGAUUGGUGCCUUCGGGAAUCUACAUACAGGUGCUGCAUGGCUGUCGUCAGCUCGUGUCGUGAGAUGUUGGGUUAAGUCCCGCAACGAGCGCAACCCUUUUCCUUACUUGCCAGCAUUUCGGAUGGGAACUUUAAGGAUACUGCCAGUGACAAACUGGAGGAAGGCGGGGACGACGUCAAGUCGUCAUGGCCCUUACGGCCAGGGCUACACACGUGCUACAAUGGUCGGUACAAAGGGUUGCUACACAGCGAUGUGAUGCUAAUCUCAAAAAGCCGAUCGUAGUCCGGAUCGCAGUCUGCAACUCGACUGCGUGAAGUCGGAAUCGCUAGUAAUCGCGGAUCAGAAUGCCGCGGUGAAUACGUUCCCGGGCCUUGUACACACCGCCCGUCACACCAUGGGAGUUUGU
rnacentral:rRNA from 1 species